GAUCGGCUGGCCUAAUGGUAAGGUGCCUGUCUUACACAGCAAGUAUCACAGGACAUUUUAGGUUCGAGCCCUAUACCGAUCA